GAAAUUGUAAAACCCUAAUCAGUCCAGUCCGCCUUCAAUCUUCAGAUUUCCAUAAUUUCAGAUCUUUAUCUCAAAUUUUGCAGAUCGAUCCAUGCAAUCAAUUUCCCCACCAGUUUCAAUUCCUAUUUCUCAGUUUUGAUCUUCCCCCAAAUCAAAACCCGAAUCAUUAAGUAAGAAGACAGUAAGGUAUCGAUGGAUUGUUUAAGAUGGAUCAUUGAUUUUGUCGUAUGGGAUUCUGGUGGAGGGUUUCCGAACACACAAAGACAAACAAAGCAUGAUUAUAUUUCCUCUCAAAACAAAGCCUUAUGAACUUGGAUGACAAGCAAGCGAAUUCCGGGGCCGGCAUGUACCAAUUCGAUACUCUUGCUGAUCUAGCCGCUCUGAGAAAUUUUCUUAUUGGGAAUUUCGAAACUCAUCUUCAAACUGCAAUGGGGGCUUUUGUGAUACCUAAUCCGUGAUUCAGGUCGGGAAGCAUGCAGGUUGGCUUCCAGCACCUAACGUCCAAGACACUCCUGUUCUGAAAGUUGUUCAUACUUUUCGAGAUGAUUCAGUACCUUCCCUGGCUCCUCACAGUGAUAUGGUCCAAUUCCCUGGCUCCUCACAAUGAUAUGGUCCAAUUCUUGAAUGCAGCAGAAACACGUUGCAAGGAUUUAAUCGCUAAGGAAGCGUCGGAGGAAUGUGGUCAAAACAUGAGAUUGAGCAAGCCGACACUGCACUAGGUUUUGGAGCUGUUAAGUAUGUUCAACUGUGAAAUGUAUGGAUUCGUGAAGAGGAUCUCCAUAAAUCAGGGAUAGAGUUGCAGGUGGUAUCUUUAGGUGAGUCUAGCAUUCCACUUAGGGAAAACUUGCAAAGGAACUAGACUGUUGUUGAAGUAUUAUCUUCAGUUGAAGUACCUGGCCAAGAGCUAAUUCCAAAAGUGACGAGGCUUGGAGAUAGUGAAGACCAAACUGAAAGUCAAGCAAGGCCAGUCGUCACCUUUUGCUGUAUGGGUUUGUAGUGUAAUAUCAGACACACAAAGACAACCCUAGCGUUAUGUAUUUUAUUGUUCGGAUACAACAGAAAAACACCACUUUUGUUAGUCCUCCACAUAGGAAGAUGAAAGCUGCAUCGCCUAUUACUAAUGUCAUGUAUGCCAUGGUCAUCACUGUUAUGUUCUGCCUGGGUAUAAUUAUUCAAGGAUUGUCAUCCAGAGGCAGUUCACAUUUAAGCUUCUACGGCUCUAUCAGUCAGCGGUCACAAUGAGAGGACAGGAAAAUAAAUUUCAAUUCAGUAUUUGAAGAACAUCUGCACCAGGGACUGAUGGACAUGGCUCUGCAUCUCCGAGCCAGGUAGAACAAGUAUUUGGACAAGGUCCUGAUGAGGAAGGGAGAAGCAGAGUUAGCUCCAUCAGUGACUGGUGCAAGAAUUUGGUAUUUAGGGAAAUCCGGUGGGACAAAUUCAGUUGCUGGAGCAAGGAAAAAUGAGCCCGAAUCUCAAAACGGUGCUCAUUCAGAGAUGCAGUGUCCUGUGCUUCUUAUGCAACCGCUAUAGAUGACCACGCAAUGUAAACGAUUGGUUAUCAAAUGGCUACUGUAGCCCAUCUGAAGCAAGUCCCAUAAAAUGAUGCUGAAGACCAUUUGCGAAAGACUAAACAAUCUAAAUCAGAUAAUAUGAAACUGCUAGUAGAAGAAUGAAGUACUCAUCUUUAUAUUUGUUCUGGUGCUGGAUGGUAUUUGCAUCUGUAGGUUUCUUAUUACUCCUUUGAAUUUGUUAAGCUGGCUCAUGUACAGGAGCGGAUGUAGUGCAAUGAUGGCAUAGUCCAUUGUGUGCUCAGUGCUCAGCAGGGGAGGAUGAUUCCAACUUCCAUGCCGUGCUGAACUGGGCACUUUUUUCCCCUAAUGACUUUGAUUUAGUCAGAGUCUGUCUGUGUACAAUGAUUUGUAUUUCUUAUGGAUACGCAUGUCUACUAUUCUCUAUUUCCAAUGUGUUAUCAACUUAUCAUCAAAUUUUGGU